rnacentral:rRNA from 1 species
GAUGAACGCUGGCGGCGUGCUUAACACAUGCAAGUCGAACGGAAAGGCCCUGCGUUUGUGGGGUUCUCGAGUGGCGCACGCGUGAGUAACACGUGUGUAUCCUCCCCCUGACUUUGUGAUAUCUCUACGGGACUGGGGCUCUUACAGCAUAUGAUCUCUUGCUGCACGGGGGUGGUUGGUAAGUGUCGGCGGUUGUGUAUGUACUCGAGGCUUAUGAGCUGGUUGGUGUGGUAGUUACGUACAAAGCCUUUGACGGGUAGCCGGCCUGAGAGGGUGACCGGCCACAUUGGGACUGAGAUAGGGCGCAGAAGCCUACGGGAGGCAGCAGUGGGAAAUAUUGCAGAAUGGGCGGGAGUCAGAUGCAGCAGCGCCGCGUGCGUGAUACCGGCCUACGGGUGGAAAACCGCUGUGGCCUGUGACGAAGCGUGAGUGACGGUAAUUGGUAAAGAAGCACCGGCUAACUACGUG